rnacentral:lncRNA from 1 species
UGGACAGGGAGGGGGCUCCAGCUGAAGGAAGAGAGGGCACUGUGACUUCACUCCACUCCACUCCCACUCCCUUCUCCUGACCUUUGCCCAGAGCACCAGCCAAUUCUGGAUCCUUGAUGUGGAUUCUUCGCUAAGCAAGGGCCUCCUUUAACAGAAAACGCUUUACAUGGGUCUCCUUGUGCCCUGAACUCCUCCCUCCGGUGCCUCAGGGCCCAGAUGACAGCCAUUUAGCUGUCCUGGGGCCUGGUCCAGCUGCGUGUAAUGUGAUGCUGCUCCUUGGAGGCCACCAACGGUCCCAGCCUUUCCCGGGCCAAACGUGGAGUGGAGAUACCACAUCAAGAGCCACCAUCCUGGGCCAAGCCACCAUCCCCUCCUGCCUGGAUGACAACAGCAGCUCUGGGACACCCCCUUGCAUCCAAGCUUGCCUCCUCCCCUUCACCAUUGCCCACGGAAAUGAAGCUGGAUUGGUCUUCCUAAAGCGAGAAUAAACUCAUCUGCCACAAACCCCUGAGGCCUCCAUUCUUCUCAGUGCAG